rnacentral:sRNA from 1 species
UGCUACCUUUAGGCUAUCACUGCCUCGUGUGUCGAAUCGAGCGUUCCCUUCCUUCUAAAUAUUAUCAUGUAGUUCUUGGAGUUAUCAUAGUCAAUUCAAUACUCUCUUGAUAUUCGGUAUUUCGGUCAAUAUUCAGACGUUCUACCUUUCCGACACAAGGCUUGUCGCAGCUGAAGCGAACAGCCCACUCCUAGUGCUAGUAAAUAGUUACUAUAUUGCCUGCUACAAUUCCGGUAAAGUUGUAUAUGAAUCAAUUGAUUUCAUUGACCCCAAUCAGCUCUGCCUUGUCUCUCUCCCCCCCCUGCCGCGCCAGCCUGGGUUCGAUUCCCAGCACCGUCAUUCACCCUUCCACCAUGAAUGGCCAUACGUCGGGCCAGAAGUGGAUGCACAGCUCAAUAAGCUGAGUCUUCUCAAGAGUUGCCAUCUGGAUCCUGUUUCUCUCCUUUUGUGUACUGUACAUAGAAAUCUCUCCAGCAUAGCACGUCCCCAUGCCCUCCGGGAGGCUUCUCUGGGACGAUAAAUCUACUAUGUAUACAUAGAUACAUCCCCCCUCCCCCCACCCCCCCUGCCACUUCAUCUCACUCACAGGUGGCAGCGAGAUCUACCUAUUCAAUCAGUGAGCAAUUGCAAGCUGACUGUUCUUUGUGAUUUAAUCUGAACAUAACAGUGCGUACUGUUUUUGCCCGAGGAACCUGAGAAUCACACAGAUGAAAACUGAACUCUGCAGAGAGCUCUAUAGAAGGGGAGGGUGAAAAAUAAUGAGAUCUCUUGAUGAGCGAGAGUGAUCUGAC